rnacentral:lncRNA from 1 species
GGACAUGAGGUAGGCUUGCAUCUUGAGACUGCUGAUUAUUCUAGUUUGGAGGAUGAGAAUUCAUAAUCAAAUCCAAACUCUGCAUCAAAGGAAACUCUGGAUUUGAACUAUGUGUUCUGGCUUUCAAAACUCUUUGGCUCGAUUACAGGAUAAAUAAAUUUGAAAGAGAAAUGUUGACUUUUAGUUUACUUCUGGAUCACAGAAUCGGCAUUCUAGAUGAGGAUACUCAGUCUGAG